UACGUAGGUGGCAAGCGUUGUCCGGAAUUAUUGGGCGUAAAGCGCGCGCAGGCGGUCUUUUAAGUCUGAUGUGAAAGCCCACGGCUCAACCGUGGAGGGUCAUUGGAAACUGGGGGACUUGAGUGCAGAAGAGGAGAGUGGAAUUCCACGUGUAGCGGUGAAAUGCGUAGAGAUGUGGAGGAACACCAGUGGCGAAGGCGACUCUCUGGUCUGUAACUGACGCUGAGGCGCGCAAGCGUGGGGAGCAAACAGG
rnacentral:rRNA from 1 species